AAUUUUGAUAGAUGGGGUAAAAAAUCCGCACAUAUAUCGUCACAUUACUCUGGGUGCCUGUAAAAGGGUGGAGAAUGCGGAUAUAUGGAGGCCUAACC
rnacentral:sRNA from 1 species